CAUCGUACUCGUGAUAUAUAGAUUUCUAGGGUUUACUAUAAUAAACACCAGCAGUAGGAGCACAAGUCACAGCCAUGGUUCUCAAGACUGAGCUAUGUCGUUUUAGUGGAGCCAAGAUUUAUCCUGGUAAAGGAAUCAGAUUUAUUCGCUCUGAUUCUCAGGUGUUUCUUUUUGCUAAUUCAAAAUGCAAGAGAUAUUUUCACAACAAGUUGAAGCCAUCUAAGCUUACAUGGACAGCCAUGUUUAGGAAGCAACAUAAGAAGUAGCUCUCGGCUAACAUUUAAUUAAACAAUGCUUCUGAUACAUGAUAUCUCGCAAGAGGCUGUAAAGAAGAAGAGACGUGCCACCAAGAAGCCUUACUCUAAGUCUAUCGUCGGUGCUACCUUGGAGGUUAUCCGGAAGAAAAAAGCCGAGAAGCCAGAAGUUCGAGAUGCUGCCAGGGAAGCUGCUCUCCGAUGUGGAAAUUAAGGAUAGGAUCAAGAAGACCAAAGAUGAAAAGAAGGCGAAGAAGGCCGAAGUGACAGCCAAGUCACAGAAAGCAGGAGGAAGAGGUACCAUGCCCAAGGGUGCUGCACCAAAGGGUCCCAAACUCGGUGGUGGUGGUGGAAAGCGUUAAGCUGCCAAUCUUUUCGACGUUCUUUGCUAUUAGUCCGAUUAGUUAAACCGAUAUCGAUUUUUUUCCAAGUUGCAUUUAUAGGAUGUUUGUAUUAAGUUUUCUCUGGUUGGUACAACAAUGACUGUUUCAAUUUUGUUUUCCCUUGUUGUGUACUUGAGUUUAAAAUUGAGCAAUUUUAGAUGCUUCUGAAUCUAAUGUUGAGAUCUCUCAUAUGCACACCAAAUGAUGAUUUCCCAUGUUGCGGAAAAACAGACAUGGAAAUAGAAAUUUAUAUGUUUGAAUAUA